UACGUAGGGGGCUAGCGUUGUCCGGAAUCAUUGGGCGUAAAGCGCGUGUAGGCGGCCCGGUAAGUCCGCUGUGAAAGUCGGGGGCUCAACCCUCGGAUGCCGGUGGAGUACUGUCGGGCUAGAGUGCGGGAGAGGCGGAGUGGAAUUCCUGGUGUAGCGGUGAAAUGACGCAGAUAUCAGGAGGAACACCAAUUGCGAAGGCAGCUCGCUGGAACGUUACUGACGCUGAGACGCGAAAGCGUGGGGAGCAAACAGG
rnacentral:rRNA from 1 species